UUGAUAAAAGCCAAAUAGAGGCAUAUUACUGUUAAUAAUAUCAAUGAAUUUUUUUUCUUAUCAAA
rnacentral:tRNA from 1 species